rnacentral:rRNA from 1 species
GGGGUAAGGAGGCCGCCUGUAAUGCGGGUCGUAAGCUGUGUGUGGUGUCAACUGAUUUGAAGAGCUUGCUCAGAUAUGACGAUGGACAUUGCAAAGAGUGGCGAACGGGUGAGUAACACGUGGGAAACCUACCUCUUAGCAGGGGAUAACAUUUGGAAACAGAUGCUAAUACCGUAUAACAAUGACAACCGCAUGGUUGUUAUUUAAAAGAUGGUUCUGCUAUCACUAAGAGAUGGUCCCGCGGUGCAUUAGCUAGUUGGUAAGGUAAUGGCUUACCAAGGCGAUGAUGCAUAGCCGAGUUGAGAGACUGAUCGGCCACAAUGGGACUGAGACACGGCCCAUACUCCUACGGGAGGCAGCAGUAGGGAAUCUUCCACAAUGGGCGAAAGCCUGAUGGAGCAACGCCGCGUGUGUGAUGAAGGGUUUCGGCUCGUAAAACACUGUUGUAAGAGAAGAAUGACAUUGAGAGUAACUGUUCAAUGUGUGACGGUAUCUUACCAGAAAGGAACGGCUAAAUACGUGCCAGCAGCCGCGGUAAUACGUAUGUUCCAAGCGUUAUCCGGAUUUAUUGGGCGUAAAGCGAGCGCAGACGGUUAUUUAAGUCUGAAGUGAAAGCCCUCAGCUCAACUGAGGAAUUGCUUUGGAAACUGGAUGACUUGAGUGCAGUAGAGGAAAGUGGAACUCCAUGUGUAGCGGUGAAAUGCGUAGAUAUAUGGAAGAACACCAGUGGCGAAGGCGGCUUUCUGGACUGUAACUGACGUUGAGGCUCGAAAGUGUGGGUAGCAAACAGGAUUAGAUACCCUGGUAGUCCACACCGUAAACGAUGAGUGCUAGGUGUUUGAGGGUUUCCGCCCUUAAGUGCCGCAGCUAACGCAUUAAGCACUCCGCCUGGGGAGUACGACCGCAAGGUUGAAACUCAAAGGAAUUGACGGGGACCCGCACAAGCGGUGGAGCAUGUGGUUUAAUUCGAAGCAACGCGAAGAACCUUACCAGGUCUUGACAUCCCUUGACAACUCCAGAGAUGGAGCGUUCCCUUCGGGGACAAGGUGACAGGUGGUGCAUGGUUGUCGUCAGCUCGUGUCGUGAGAUGUUGGGUUAAGUCCCGCAACGAGCGCAACCCUUAUUACUAGUUGCCAGCAUUCAGUUGGGCACUCUAGUGAGACUGCCGGUGACAAACCGGAGGAAGGUGGGGAUGACGUCAAAUCAUCAUGCCCCUUAUGACCUGGGCUACACACGUGCUACAAUGGCGUAUACAACGAGUUGCCAACCCGCGAGGGUGAGCUAAUCUCUUAAAGUACGUCUCAGUUCGGAUUGUAGGCUGCAACUCGCCUACAUGAAGUCGGAAUCGCUAGUAAUCGCGGAUCAGCACGCCGCGGUGAAUACGUUCCCGGGUCUUGUACACACCGCCCGUCACACCAUGAGAGUUUGUAACACCCAAAGCCGGAGAGUAACUUUCGGGUCAGAACAAGUCUUAGAGGGUUUUACCUUUCCCC